GACAGAGGAUGCAAGCGUUAUCCGGAAUGAUUGGGCGUAAAGCGUCUGUAGGUGGCUUUUAAGUCCGCCGUCAAAUCCCAGGCUCAACCCUGGACAGGCGGUGGAAACUACCAAGCUGGAGUACGGUAGGGCAGAGGGAAUUUCCGGUGGAGCGGUGAAAUGCGUAGAGAUCGGAAAGAACACCAACGGCGAAAGCACUCUGCUGGCCGACACUGACACUGAGAGACGAAAGCUAGGGGAGCGAAUGGG
rnacentral:rRNA from 1 species